CUUGUUCUUUGUUCUUUUUCUAAAUUUAUUUUGCUAAAUUCACUUUUAUUGUGUGUAAUUUGCUGACAGCCACAUCUUAGAUUGCUAAGCUUGCUUGCUAUCCACUUCCCAUCUUCAAUCAAGCUAAGGAAUCGGCAUGUGGCAGUCAGACUGGGAAUUCGGACAAUUCUUGAAAUGACUAAUUCCGGGUUCCAGGGUUCACCCUUCGAGUUCAGCAACCGCAGGACCCACUACCGGUCCUGUACUUACCUGCACCGGUUCACCCUUCGAGUUCAGCAACCGCAGGACCCACUACCGGUCCUGUACUUACCUGCACCGUUUCACCCUUCGAGUUCUACAACCGCAGGACCCACUACCGGUCCUGUACUUACCUCUACCGCUUCACCUUUCGGGUUCUACAACCCGCUGGAUCCACUUUCGGUCCUGUACUUACCCCACCGUUUCUGCUGCCCUGCUGCGCGCGCCGGUGUACCCCGUGUCGUCGUGGGAAGAGUUACAGGGAAGUGGUAGUUUUCCUACUGCACCAAGGGUGCUCAGCCAGUAUCAAAUUACCUGCGACCCAGAGAUCCGAUCUAUGUACUUGCUAGGGAUUUAAUGAAAUAAACUUGGUUUAAUUUCUA